CGCCCCGCAAGGGGAGCGGCAGACGGGUGAGUAACGCGUGGGAACGUACCUUUUGCUACGGAAUAACUCAGGGAAACUUGUGCUAAUACCGUAUGUGCCCUUCGGGGGAAAGAUUUAUCGGCAAAGGAUCGGCCCGCGUUGGAUUAGCUAGUUGGUGAGGUAAAGGCUCACCAAGGCGACGAUCCAUAGCUGGUCUGAGAGGAUGAUCAGCCACACUGGGACUGAGACACGGCCCAGACUCCUACGGGAGGCAGCAGAC
rnacentral:rRNA from 1 species